GAUGUGUCAGACAAAACUAAUCUAUUUCACUUCACUCACCCUUAAUGCAACAUUUAUGUUAUUGUUAAUGUGCGCCUAUCUUUGUUAUUGAGGUUUCACAGACAGUGGUAAAGGAGAAAUAAUCUACAGUAUAUCUUUAUUUUGAUCCUUGUGUUUCAGUUUGACUGCUCUGUGAUCUACUGGUAAUGCCUCUAUUACCAUGUAGGGAACUUGCUCUGUUUCCUCAGCUAAAUACGCGGGAGUGACGCAGGAGCAACAUGUGUGUGGUUUUCCUCCCAAUUUAAGGUUUGGAGAAAAGGUCAUAAUGCCCAUCGCUACUCACUGAUUUGACUGGGGAGUAAGAGGAGAAGGCAUGAGCAAGCUCCUGGUGGUGAUUUAAGACCUCCCAGUCUUGAUAAUAAAGACGAUCAUCCACAUUCCAGCCUGCAGAAGAACAAGAUGAAAAACUUUUGGACAGGGAUGCUGGCUGUCCUUCCUGCUGUGGUGUCUGCCCGAGCUAAAUCAAGACCACAGCGUCCCUGUCCCAUUGGCCAAUUGGUCGCCUGACCAGGGAGGCCCACCCACCUGUAGCUCGACAGCCAUAACACCUAUACUCAGGGCAGUAUCGCCGUAACAUUAGUGUCUUAUAAAUGAUCCAUACUCUUCUUGUGAAACUAGUCAAUAUCACUUAUUGCAUUUGAUAAUAAGAAUAGUACAACUUCAUAAAGUCCCCAUAUUCCAGCACAUAAUCCUGCACUUUGGCAAAUUAAUGUUUUGAUACUUGGAUUAUUUAACUAAAUGUAUUAUAGGGAAGCCUCUUGAGAUGCAGCAUCUCUUUUUCAAGGGGGGUUACAACACAAAUACAAAGUAAAGAACGUACAAAAAAAACCAUUCAUGAUUGAAGUGCUGGUAAAUAACAAACUAGGCUAAUCUAAUCUUCUUAUCAAAAUCUUUGCUUACAGAAGAUUAAUUGUUUUGCAAAAUUGUUGCCCUUUGCCUUUGAAGUUGUAAUUUAUGAAUUCCAUGGCAGCAUGGUGUUUACUGGUGGUAAGAGACUAUAGUUUCAGUAUAGUACAAAGAAGCCUGCUUUUUUACUAUCCUGUCCAGGCAUAACAUUUAAUGGGAAGCACGUCCAGCCUGCUAAUUGUUCUUCUGAUCAGUAUAAUAAAACUGUGGCUGUUCACAAUUUACAUCAGACCACAAGCUACCCAGAACACCCACAUUAUCAUUCGCCCUUUUACCGUCAGCCAAACUGUUACCACAUCACUGAGAGCUCUGCUGGUUUAAAAACACCACACCGGCUGUGAAUGAAAACCAAAGCUUACAGCGAGAGCACGUGCCACACACAGCGGUCGACCUCUCUCUUGCGUGUCGAGAGGCCUCGUGGAUAAACAUGAAGCGGAGUAGGCUGUCUGAGAAUGAGCUGUCAGUGGUCAGUGACUGAUCCAGAUCUCAACUCCACCGCCUGCAGCAUGGUCAAAACAGAAGGGACAAGAGAUUCCAUAGAGACUCCUCAAAUAAGCAGCACGCUGCACGACGCCUCCCUUCACAGGAUAACGGGAAGGAAGAUGAGAUGGAGCGAGACAGAGACCUGCCUGUCCUGUCAGCCAGUGGAAUGGGAAAACUAAACACCUUGGUUUAAACACUGAGUGAUGGAAUCCACUCAGCCGUAGUCAACAGCUCCGACAAAAAUGGAGACCUCCGCUUUUGUUUUUAUGAUUCCUCUUUGUUCUAUGCUGUAAAAGUAAACAGCCGUAGUAUUCGCUCUACGUUCCAACUCUAAGAAUAAAUUUCCAAAAUAAAGAUCAUCGCAAGGGUCGUGCUUUUCAUGACAGAGUAGCCUGCAGAUGCCUUGUGAGUGCAUGUGGUGGCAUAGCUACUCAGGAAUAGCAAUCUUGGACCCUCACUUUGGUCCUGACAAGAAUGAUUUAUUGCCAUGAUUUUUUAACAGACCAAAAUACUACUUAGGGGCUGAACUUAAUUAGCUUUCUUGAUCCCCUGACUCAAACAGCAGCCUUAUCGUUUUGAUAUUUCUUGUCUGUGUGUAAAAAUUGGACUAAAAAUAAAGUGUUGACAAGACA